AUCCAGCUGACGAGUCCCAAAUAGGACGAAAUGCGCAUCCUGGAC
rfam:Trichobilharzia regenti genome assembly, scaffold: TRE_scaffold0028189